GACAGUGGGCGGGACUAAGGGUGCCACCUGCAGACACACCCUGGCUUCUGCGGGACCGUCUUCCUUGUCUUCCCCCUCGGGGCCUAGAGGAGGCUACGCGCGGCGUCUCCGAGCUCUAGGGUCCGGAGCUCUAGGGUCCUUUUAUGUAGCAAAGUCAGGCCUGGGAACAGAACUUCAUGUGCUUGUAAAAAGUCUCAGGUGCGUUCUCGUUGUUUUAGAGACUUGGAGAGGAAUGGGGGCGGGGGGAACAAAAUCCGAGGACAGUCGAGCCAAGAAAAGUCGGGGCUUCUAGGAUGCCAACCACGCCAAACAGAUCAAAACCAGGACUGGAGGACUGAAGAUGAAGCCGGCAAAAAGUCACCAGCCACGGCUGUUGUAAGGUAUGCUUCACCUCUCCUGCUAAGUCUUCAUCCCUGUCUAUGAGGACAAAGAAGUUACGGGUUAAAUUGGCGAUGGGCCAGGCGCUCCUUGAGGAUGCUCUAAAAUUCCAGGGAAUCUGAUGCCUUCUUCUAACCAUCAUGAAGACAAGUUGGUGAUAGAAAAUGGGAGAACUGAAGACAACCACUUUAUAAAACCUUUGCCUGCUUGAAUUUGUGGUGAUG
ensembl:processed_transcript